CUACGGGUCGCUGCAGUGAGGAAUAUUGCACAAUGGGGGGAACCCUGAUGCAGCAACGCCGCGUGGAGGAUGACGCAUUUCGGUGUGUAAACUCCUUUUAUAUGUCAAGGAAAUGACGGUAGCAUAUGAAUAAGCACCGGCUAACUCCGUGCCAGCAGCCGCGGUAAUACGGAGGGUGCAAGCGUUACUCGGAAUCACUGGGCGUAAAGGACGCGUAGGCGGGUUGGAAGGUCAGGUGUGAAAUCCUACAGCUUAACUGUAGAACUGCACUUGAAACUUCUAAUCUAGAGUAUGGGAGGGGGAGAUGGAAUUAGUGGUGUAGGGGUAAAAUCCGUAGAUAUCACUGGGAAUACCUAAAGCGAAGGCGAUCUCCUGGAACAUUACUGACGCUAAGGCGUGAAAGCGUGGGGAGCAAACAGGAUUAGAUACCCCAGUAGUC
rnacentral:rRNA from 1 species